CCUACGGGAGGCAGCAGUGGGGGAUAUUGCACAAUGGGGGAAACCCUGAUGCAGCGACGCCGCGUGUGGGAAGACGGUCCUCUGGAUUGUAAACCACUGUCCCCAGGGACGAAGAUGACGGUACCUGGGGAGGAAGCUCCGGCUAACUACGUGCCAGCAGCCGCGGUAAUACGUAGGGAGCGAGCGUUGUCCGGAAUUACUGGGUGUAAAGGGAGCGUAGGCGGGGAUGCAAGUUGGGUGUCAAACCUACCGGCUCAACUGGUAGUCGCACUCAAAACUGCAGCUCUUGAGUGAAGUAGAGGCAGGCGGAAUUCCUAGUGUAGCGGUGAAAUGCGUAGAUAUCAGGAGGAACACCGGUGGCGAAGGCGGCCUGCUGGACUGCAACUGACGUUGAGGCCCGAAAGCGUGGGGAGCAAACAGGAUUAGAUACCCUUGUAGUC
rnacentral:rRNA from 1 species